GUCAGUCAAGGACACAUGUCUGAUGCAGAACAUGAGACGUGAUGUUCCAAGUCUGAAAUCAAUCUCUGUUCUUUCCCUGACUACACAUAUUAUGUCAGGAACACUUCUUUGAUUGAGAACAGAUCACUAGAGAAAUGAAAUACCGCCGGAUGCUGCCUGUUAAGUCUUUGCGGGAUGUAGAAAACCCAUGGAAAGGAAUCACUCUGAACCGCUGCAUCCUGUUAACUAUGGCCAUUGUAGUGGUCAGCUCUGCAGUCAAAAUGGUACAAGAGACACUGGAGCCUUUUUUUGAGGCAGUGGAAGAGGUAGAAGAGUCAAAUGUCCAGGAUGGGGACACACUAGAUGAGUCUAAAGGUUCUUGGUGGGGAAGCCUAGCAUUUUGGAACUUGAGAAGAGAGGAUGAAAAUGACCAGUUUGGGAAGAGACAACCUGGAGCAAAGCCCAGAGGGAUCCGGAAGAGUGAAAUGCCAAGGAAAGGACUCCUAAAGGAACGGAAUUAGCUGAGUUGCUAGGUGGGAGGCUGAGGGAAAACAGUAAACAAAUAAAAAAUGUGUGUGGAUGAAAAUUGAA